rnacentral:rRNA from 1 species
UACGGAGGGUGCAAGCGUUAUCCGGAUUCACUGGGUUUAAAGGGAGCGUAGGUGGGUUGGUAAGUCAGUGGUGAAAUCCCCGAGCUUAACUUGGGAACUGCCAUUGAUACUAUCAGUCUUGAAUACUGUGGAGGUUAGCGGAAUAUGUCAUGUAGCGGUGAAAUGCUUAGAUAUGACAUAGAACACCAAUUGCGAAGGCAGCUCACUACGGAUUGAUUGACACUGAGGCACGAAAGCGUGGGGAUCAAACAGG